UCCUGGCUCAGGAUGAACGCUAGCGGCAGGCUUAAUACAUGCAAGUCGUGGGGGCAGCAGGUUUGUAGCAAUACAGAUGCUGGCGACCGGCAAACGGGUGCGGAACACGUACAGAACCUUCCUUUGAGCGGGGAAUAGCCCAGAGAAAUUUGGAUUAAUACCCCAUAGUAUAAUGAAGUGGCAUCACUUUAUUAUUAAAGAUUUAUCACUCGAAGAUGGCUGUGCGGCUGAUUAGGUAGUUGGCGGGGUAAAGGCCCACCAAGCCUGCGAUCAGUGACUGGUGUGAGAGCACGACCAGUCACACGGGCACUGAGACACGGGCCCGACUCCUACGGGAGGCAGCAGUAAGGAAUAUUGGUCAAUGGAGGCAACUCUGAACCAGCCAUGCCGCGUGGAGGAUGAAGGUCCUCUGGAUUGUAAACUUCUUUUAUAUGGGACGAAAAAAGGCUUUUCUAAGUCGUCUGACGGUACCAUAUGAAUAAGCACCGGCUAACUCCGUG
rnacentral:rRNA from 1 species